CACGGGCGGCAGAGAUUGACA
rnacentral:miRNA from 1 species